GACGAACGCUGGCGGCGUGCUUAACACAUGCAAGUCGAACAGAAAGGCCCUGCUUUUGUGGGGUGCUCGAGUGGCGAACGGGUGAGUAACACGUGAGUAACCUGCCCUUGACUUUGGGAUAACUUCAGGAAACUGGGGCUAAUACCGGAUAGGAGCUCCUGCUGCAUGGUGGGGGUUGGAAGGUUUCGGCGGUUGGGGAUGGACUCGCGGCUUAUCAGCUUGUUGGUGGGGUAGUGGCUUACCAAGGCUUUGACGGGUAGCCGGCCUGAGAGGGUGACCGGCCACAUUGGGACUGAGAUACGGCCCAGACUCCUACGGGAGGCAGCAGUGGGGAAUAUUGCACAAUGGGCGGAAGCCUGAUGCAGCAACGCCGCGUGCGGGAUGACGGCCUUCGGGUUGUAAACCGCUUUCGCCUGUGACGAAGCGUGAGUGACGGUAAUGGGUAAAGAAGCACCGGCUAACUACGUG
rnacentral:rRNA from 1 species